rnacentral:rRNA from 1 species
UUAGCUAAAGAGUUUGAUCCUGGCUCAGGACGAACGCUGGCGGCGCGCCUAACACAUGCAAGUCGAACGGAGCGCACGGGAAGAAGCCCUCGGGUGGAUUCCUGUGUUGCUUAGUGGCGAACGGGUGAGUAACACGUGAGCAACCUACCAAGGGGCGGGGGACAACAUUUGGAAACAGAUGCUAAUACCGCAUAAGACCACAGCCGGGCAUCCGGCUGCGGCCAAAGCAGCAAUGCACCCCUUGAUGGGCUCGCGCCUGAUUAGAUAGUUGGUGGGGUAAUGGCUCACCAAGUCUGCGAUCAGUAGCCGG